AUUGAACGCUGGCGGCAGGCCUAACACAUGCAAGUCGAACGAGUGGCAGACGGGUGAGUAAUGUCUGGGAGACUGCCUGAUGGAGGGGGAUAACUACUGGAACCGUUAGCUAAUCCCGCUUACCAUCAGAUGUGCCCUGAUGGGAUUAGCUAGUUGGUGGGGUAACGGCUCACCAAGGCGACGAUGCCUAGCUGGUCUGAGAGGAUGACCAGCCAAACGGCAACGGAGACACGGUCCAGACUCUCACGGGAGGAAGAAGUGUGGAAUAUUGCACAAUGGGCGCAAGCCUGAUGCAGUCAUGUCGCGGGGAGGAAGAGGUCCUUGGGGUUGUAAAGUACUUUCAGCGUGGAGGCGUUACCCGCAGAAGAAGCACCGGCUAACUCCGUGCCAGCAGCCGCGGUAAUAC
rnacentral:rRNA from 1 species